rnacentral:rRNA from 1 species
AACCCUUGCUUUAGUUGCCAGCAUUAAGUUGGGCACUCUAAAGAGACUGCCGGUGUCAAACCGGAGGAAGGUGGGGAUGACGUCAAGUCCUCAUGGCCUUUAUGAUCAGGGCUACACACGUACUACAAUGGCCGGUACAACGGGCAGCGACAUAGCGAUAUGAAGCCAAUCCCUGAAAGCCGGUCUCAGUCCGGAUUGGAGUCUGCAACUCGACUCCAUGAAGUUGGAAUCGCUAGUAAUCGCGGAUCAGCAUGCCGCGGUGAAUACGUUCCCGGGCCUU